GAAAACAAGAAUGUUAAUAUGUGUCCACCCUAACGAGAUGUUCACAAGAACAAAACAGCAACUUUUGAGCAAGCUGGAAUGUAGCCAUGAUGCCUGCAAAGUGUUACUAUCACCCAUGACCAUGAGGGAAAAGUCAUUUGAAUAACAGAAAUGAGAGCCUUGAUAUCUUUGAACCAGCAGUAACAACUACCUCUCCCAAACCCACUUGACAUGUAGGGAAUUAAACCUCUGUUUGUUUAGAGCAAUCUCAAUUGUGUUUUCUGUUACCUGAUACUGGAA
rnacentral:lncRNA from 1 species